UACAGAGGUCCCAAGCGUUGCUCGGAAUCAUUGGGCGUAAAGCGCACGUAGGCGGUUCGUUAUGUCGGAUGUGAAAGCCCUUGGCUUAACCGAGGAAGUGCAUCCGAAACUGGCGAGCUAGAGUACUAAAGAGGAUCGCGGAAUUCCCGGUGUAGAGGUGAAAUGCGUAGAUAUCGGGAGGAACACCAGUGGCGAAGGCGACUUCCUGGCCUGUUCUUGACGCUGAGGCGCGAAAGCUAGGGGAGCAAACGGG
rnacentral:rRNA from 1 species